rnacentral:rRNA from 1 species
AAGCGGUGGAGGUAUGUGGUUUAAUUCGAUGCAACGCGAAGAACCUUACCUGGUCUUGACAUCCCGGAGACCCUUAGGAAACUAGGGGGUGGCUUCCAUCUGGAAGAAUCUGGAGACAGGUGCUGCAUGGCUGUCGUCAGCUCGUGUCGUGAGAUGUUGGGUUAAGUCCCGCAACGAGCGCAACCCUUGCCUUUAGUUGCCAGCAGUUCGGCUGGGCACUCUAAAGGGACUGCCGGUGUUAAACCGGAGGAAGGUGGGGAUGACGUCAAGUCCUCAUGGCCUUUAUGACCAGGGCUACACACGUACUACAAUGGCCGAUACAAAGGGCAGCGACACUGCGAGGUGAAGCCAAUCCCGUAAAAUCGGUCUCAGUCCGGAUUGGAGUCUGCAACUCGACUCCAUGAAGUUGGAAUCGCUAGUAAUCGUGGAUCAGCAUGCCACGGUGAAUACGUUCCCGGGCCUU